UGCAGUCGUACGAGAGUUUUGAACUCAAGUGGCGGACGGGUGAGUAACACGUAAGAAUUUGCCUUUAGGAGGGGGACAACAACUGGAAACGGUUGCUAAUACCCCAUAUGCUUUCGAGUGAAACGGUUUUUCCGCCUAAAGAGAAGCUUGCGGCUGAUUAGCUUGUUGGUAAGGUAAUGGCUUACCAAGGCGACGAUCAGUAUCUGGUUUGAGAGGACGAUCAGACACACUGGAACUGAGACACGGUCCGGACUCCUACGGGAGGCAGCAGUGGGGAAUUUUCCGCAAUGGGCGAAAGCCUGACGGAGCAAUACCGCGUGAGGGAUGAAUGCCUAUGGGUUGUAAACCUCUUUUUUCAGGGAGGAAUCAAUGACGUUACCUGAAGAAUAAGCAUCGGCUAACUCCGUGCCAGCAGCCGCGGUAAUACG
rnacentral:rRNA from 1 species